GAGUUUGAUCUUGGCUCAGAUUGAACGCUGGCGGCAUGCUUUACACAUGCAAGUCGAACGGCAGCGCGGGGCAACCUGGCGGCGAGUGGCGAACGGGUGAGUAAUAUAUCGGAACGUACCCAAGAGUGGGGGAUAACGUAGCGAAAGUUACGCUAAUACCGCAUACGAUCUAAGGAUGAAAGUGGGGGAUCGCAAGACCUCACGCUCCUGGAGCGGCCGAUAUCUGAUUAGCUAGUUGGUGAGGUAAAGGCUCACCAAGGCGACGAUCAGUAGCUGGUCUGAGAGGACGACCAGCCACACUGGAACUGAGACACGGUCCAGACUCCUACGGGAGGCAGCAGUGGGGAAUUUUGGACAAUGGGCGCAAGCCUGAUCCAGCAAUGCCGCGUGAGUGAAGAAGGCCUUCGGUUGUAAGACUCUUUGUUCUAGGAAGAAACGGUAAGAGGCGUAAUAUCCUUUGUCUAAUGACGGUACC
rnacentral:rRNA from 1 species